UACGUAGGGCGCAAGCGUUAUCCGGAAUUAUUGGGCGUAAAGAGCUCGUAGGCGGUUUGUCGCGUCUGCUGUGAAAGACCGGGGCUCAACUCCGGUUCUGCAGUGGGUACGGGCAGACUAGAGUGCAGUAGGGGAGACUGGAAUUCCUGGUGUAGCGGUGGAAUGCGCAGAUAUCAGGAGGAACACCAAUGGCGAAGGCAGAUCUCUGGGCCGUAACUGACGCUGAGGAGCGAAAGCAUGGGGAGCGAACAGG
rnacentral:rRNA from 1 species